rnacentral:piRNA from 1 species
UGCAUAAAGCAACUUGAGUGCUCUAUCAC